AGUGAACGCUGGCGGCAUGCCUAACACAUGCAAGUCGAACGGCAGCACAGUAAGAGCUUGCUCUUACGGGUGGCGAGUGGCGGACGGGUGAGGAAUACAUCGGAUUCUACUCUUUCGUGGGGGAUAACGUAGGGAAACUUACGCUAAUACCGCAUACGUCCUACGGGUGAAAGCAGGGGAUCUUCGGACUUUGCGCGAUUGAAUGAGCCGAUGUCGGAUUAGCUAGUUGGCGGGGUAAAGGCCCACCAAGGCGACGAUCCGUAGCUGGUCUGAGAGGAUGAUCAGCCACACUGGAACUGAGACACGGUCCAGACUCCUACGGGAGGCAGCAGUGGGGAAUAUUGGACAAUGGGCGCAAGCCUGAUCCAGCAAUACCGCGUGAGUGAUGAAGGCCUUCGGGUUGUAAAGCCCUUUUGUUGGGAAAGAAAAGCAGCAGGUUAAUACCCGGCUGUUCUGACGGUACCGAAAGAAUAAGCACCGGCUAACUUCGUG
rnacentral:rRNA from 1 species